rnacentral:rRNA from 1 species
UACGGGGGGGGCAAGCGUUGUUCGGAAUUACUGGGCGUAAAGGGCUCGUAGGCGGCCAACUAAGUCAGACGUGAAAUCCCUCGGCUUAACCGGGGAACUGCAUCUGAUACUGGAUGGCUUGAGUUCGGGAGAGGGAUGCGGAAUUCCAGGUGUAGCGGUGAAAUGCGUAGAUAUCGGGAGGAACACCAGUGGCGAAGGCGACUACCUGGCCUGUUCUUGACGCUGAGGCGCGAAAGCUAGGGGAGCAAACGGG